UACGUAGGGUGCAAGCGUUGUCCGGAAUUAUUGGGCGUAAAGAGCUCGUAGGCGGUCUGUCGCGUCGGCUGUGAAAACCCGGAGCUCAACUCCGGGCCUGCAGUCGAUACGGGCAGACUGGAGUUCGGCAGGGGAGACUGGAAUUCCUGGUGUAGCGGUGAAAUGCGCAGAUAUCUGGAGGAACACCGGUGGCGAAGGCGGCGAGUCCUGGACCGGUAUUGACGCUGAGGCGCGAAAGCCAGGG
rnacentral:rRNA from 1 species